GGAAAGUUCCUUAAACUUGAUAAAAACCAAUUUUGAUCUGUGAGCAUUAGAUAUUGAACUCUGAAUCAUAAAGUGUUCACAUGACAAAAAUCCAGAUUUGGCUACCCUAAUAUACUAAUUCAUAGAAGACAUAAUUAUGCUUUUGGAAUUCAAAAAGGUUUACAAUGGUUAGUUAGUGAUUGUAUCUCAACUGUGUGGAGUUCAGUAUCAUCUCCACUGAUGCGGAACAUAAAGCAAAAAUAUUAGUAUCUUAAAGAUCCAUAGCCCACAAAAACAAAAAUUAGAAGCUUAAUGCCAUGUACAUGACCUCAUCAAGCUAUAAUCUGGAUGUGGUUGGUCAUUGUACUUCAAGAGUUCAAGGCAUCUAGCUGAACAGCUUCUUCUGCGCUAAACUAGAGCACAAAUCAUAUACAGAGAAAUAAGAUGUCUUUUGUUGCAUUCCGUCCAAAGCCAAGACAUAAGCCUAUCAAAUAACCCACACAAAACGACCUCAUUUGGAUGGUCACCUGGUCACCCACUACUCGAACCGACCCUUCAACUCAAACCCUGCACAACUGAAGUCUCCGGCCAUCCUGUUAUGGGCUCAAAAAUCUUCCGAGAAAAGGAGUCCUCAGUCCGGCGAGCUCGCUAGCCAGAUAUAGAGGGCCCAAGCCGCCGUGGAGGACACCAGAGCCGGAGGUUGAGAAGAGGUCCGGACGGAAGCAAGAUUGAUUUCGGGGACGAGAGAGAGAGAGAGAGAGAGAGAGAGAGAGAGAGAGAGAGAGANNNNNNNNNNNNNNNNNNNNAGAGAGAGAGAGAGAGAAUGGGACGAGAAUUUGAGGGAGAGUCGAGACAGAAAUAAGAGAAUAGAUGAGAAAUAGCCUUGAGUUAAGAGUAUGAGAGAUCUUAGCCGUCUAUUGAAAAUAAACGGUCUAGAUCUUCUUAUUAGGAAGUAUUAGCAGAGGUUCAUUAUGAGAGGAUCUGGAUCCGUCAAAUGAAACCCGAGGAUCAUUAUUGGAUGGAUAUUGUUUAAACUUAAUUAUUUUUAAGACGUUAAGUUUUAAUUACAAAAAACUUCAAUAUAAUUAAAUAUGAUUUAUUUUAUAUCUCUGAUAUGAAACCUUUUCGGUUGUUCCUGAAAGAUCAUAUGCGUUAAUCUAUAGUUAGUUUUGUAGUGUUCAAUUGUCUACAAUGACAGACAGAGAAGAUUGAUUGCAAGUUGCAUAUUUCAUUGUACACUACAGCUAAAUUUUCGUGUGCACCUGUGUCGGUAUAUAUUUUGGAUGGAUGACUCCACUCAUGCAGCUAGGGCGGCUCCGGCUAGGGUACAGAAAAUCCCUCUUUGAGAUAGAUAUUCUGGAAGUUGGAAUCAUGGGAUCAUAAUCAAUAGGUUGGAAAUUUCAUUAUUAUUUCUCUUUCUUUUU
rnacentral:lncRNA from 1 species